rnacentral:rRNA from 1 species
GAUGAACGCUGGCGGCGUGCCUAAUACAUGCAAGUCGAGCGAACAGACGAGGAGCUUGCUCCUCUGACGUUAGCGGCGGACGGGUGAGUAACACGUGGAUAACCUACCUAUAAGACUGGGAUAACUUCGGGAAACCGGAGCUAAUACCGGAUAAUAUAUUGAACCGCAUGGUUCAAUAGUGAAAGACGGUUUUGCUGUCACUUAUAGAUGGAUCCGCGCCGCAUUAGCUAGUUGGUAAGGUAACGGCUUACCAAGGCGACGAUGCGUAGCCGACCUGAGAGGGUGAUCGGCCACACUGGAACUGAGGCACGGUCCAGACUCCUACGGGAGGCAGCAGUAGGGAAUCUUCCGCAAUGGGCGAAAGCAUGACGGAGCAACGCCGCGUGAGUGAUGAAGGUCUUCGGAUCGUAAAACUCUGUUAUUAGGGAAGAACAAAUGUGUAAGUAACUAUGCACGUCUUGACGGUACCUAAUCAGAAAGCCACGGCUAACUACGUG